rnacentral:tRNA from 1 species
GGUAGAGUGGCUGAGUGUUAGGCGGCGGUUUGUAGCAUCGUAUACAGGGGUUUCAUUCCCCUCUCUAUCA